UGGGGAAUAUUGCACAAUGGGCGCAAGCCUGAUGCAGCCAUGCCGCGUGUAUGAAGAAGGCCUUCGGGUUGUAAAGUACUUUCAGCGGGGAGGAAGGGAGUAAAGUUAAUACCUUUGACCAUUGACGUUACCCGCAGAAGAAGCACCGGCUAACUCCGUGCCAGCAGCCGCGGUAAUACGGAGGGUGCAAGCGUUAAUCGGAAUUACUGGGCGUAAAGCGCACGCAGGCGGUUUGUUAAGUCAGAUGUGAAAUCCCCGGGCUCAACCUGGGAACUGCAUCUGAUACUGGCAAGCUUGAGUCUCGUAGAGGGGGGUAGAAUUCCAGGUGUAGCGGUGAAAUGCGUAGAGAUCUGGAGGAAUACCGGUGGCGAAGGCGGCCCCCUGGACGAAGACUGACGCUCAGGUGCGAAAGCGUGGGGAGCAAACAGG
rnacentral:rRNA from 1 species